rnacentral:rRNA from 1 species
GAAACCCGGUGAUCUAGCCAUGGGCAGGUUGAAGGUUGGGUAACACUAACUGGAGGACCGAACCGACUAAUGUUGAAAAAUUAGCGGAUGACUUGUGGCUGGGGGUGAAAGGCCAAUCAAACCGGGAGAUAGCUGGUUCUCCCCGAAAGCUAUUUAGGUAGCGCCUCGUGAAUUCAUCUCCGGGGGUAGAGCACUGUUUCGGCAAGGGGGUCAUCCCGACUUACCAACCCGAUGCAAACUGCGAAUACCGGAGAAUGUUAUCACGGGAGACACACGGCGGGUGCUAACGUCCGUCGUGAAGAGGGAAACAACCCAGACCGCCAGCUAAGGUCCCAAAGUCAUGGUUAAGUGGGAAACGAUGUGGGAAGGCCCAGACAGCCAGGAUGUUGGCUUAGAAGCAGCCAUCAUUUAAAGAAAGCGUAAUAGCUCACUGGUCGAGUCGGCCUGCGCGGAAGAUGUAACGGGGCUAAACCAUGCACCGAAGCUGCGGCAGCGACACUAUGUGUUGUUGGGUAGGGGAGCGU